rnacentral:sRNA from 1 species
CUGGGACCAGAUAAUCGACUUUUAUCGG